GACAAGAUCGUGCUCUGUUGCCAGGCUGGAGCGCUCACUGUAACCUUGAACGUCUGCGCUCAAGCAAUCCUCCUGCCUCAGCCUCCUGAGUAGCUGGGACUACAGAGACAGGGUCUUGUUCUGUUGUCCAAGCUGGUCUUGAAUUCCUGACCUCAAGCCAUCCUCCUGCCUUGGCCUCCCAAAGCACUGGGAUUAUUACAGGUAUGAGCCACCACGCUGGGCCCUCACGCUUACUCUUCGGAGAGAGAAGUGAAGUGUCUGCCUCAGCCUGGGAAUGGGUCAUGUGCAAAGUAAAUAAAGGCAAUGCCAAACGUCAGCACAACAAGCAA